GGUACGACUGUCGAUAAUAGAUUAUCUUGGCUCUUGCAUCAAUGAAGAACAUAGCAAAAUGUGAUAAUGGUGUGAAUUGUAGAAUCCCAUUAACCAUCAAGUCUUUGAAUGCAAGUUGCACUCGAGGCCAUCCGACCGAGGGCAUGGCUACCUGGGCAUCACGC
rnacentral:rRNA from 1 species